UCCCUAGUGGCUCAGUUGGUAAAGAAUCUGCCUGCAGUGCAGGAGACCUGGGUUUAAUCCCUGGCUUGGGAA
rnacentral:tRNA from 1 species